AGUGAAUAGAUACCCGGGUAGUCCCAGCUGUAAACGAUGCGCGUUAGGUGUAUCGGUGACCACGAGUCAUCGAGGUGCCGAAGAGAAAUCGUGAAACGUGCCGCCUGGGAAGUACGGUCGCAAGGCUGAAACUUAAAGGAAUUGGCGGGGGAGCACCACAACAGGUGGAGCCUGCGGUUUAAUCGGACUCAACGCCGGAAAUCUCACCGGAUAAGACAGCUGUAUGAUAGUCGGGCUGAGGACUCUACUUGACUAGCUGAGAGGAGGUGCAUGGCCGUCGUCAGUUCGUACUGUGAAGCAUCCUGUUAAGUCAGGCAACGAGCGAGACCCACGCCAACAGUUGCCAGCUCGUCCUCCGGGAUGGUGGGGACACUGUUGGGACCGCCUCUGCUAAAGAGGAGGAAGGAAUGGGCAACGGUAGGUCAGCAUGCCCCGAAUUAUCCGGGCUACACGCGGGCUACAAUGGGUGGGACAAUGGGUAUCGACACCGAAAGGUGAAGGCAAUCUCCUAAACCCAUCCUUAGUUCGGAUUGUGGG
rnacentral:rRNA from 1 species